AACCUAGCACACCUGCGGUGUGUACCUGCGGAAGGAUCAUUACACAAUACAAUAUGAAGGCUGUCCGCAGCUGGAGUAUUUUAUUACCCUUGUCUUUUGCGCACUUGUUGUUUCCUGGGCGGGUUCGCUCGCCACCAGGACCACCAAAUAAACCUUUUUUAUGCAGUUGCAAUCAGCGUCAGUACAAACAAUGUAAAUCAUUUACAACUUUUAGCAACGGAUCUCAGAUCGGAAGAGCAC
rnacentral:misc_RNA from 1 species